rnacentral:tRNA from 1 species
CCCCUGGUGGUCUAGUGGUUAGGAUGCAGCACUCUUACCUCCAUGACCCGGGUUCGAUUCCUGGUCAGGGAA